CCCAGUAAUUGCGACUUACUUGUUACAGCAGAAGCUUCAAGAAUUUACACUCAUUGGAAUAAUAAAAUAGAAGUAAGCAACCGUGCAUUAAAAAGCUAUGAAAAGAUGAAGAGAAUAUGCCUUCAAAUGGGAAGGAAUACUUAACUGUGAAUAAGACCUAGUUCAACAUGGAACUUCCUGGUGGCCAAGUCAGAAGAGAAGCACAGAACAAAAACGGAGGCACAGAGAGGUCAAUUGAUUGGUCUAAUGACACAGAUCUAGCAAGUGGUGGAACCAGGACUGAAUCCAGGUGUGUGUCCGGAAUUGGUGGGUUCUUGGUCUCACUGACUUCAAGAAUGAAGCCGCGGACCCUUGCGGAACUGUGAAGACUAGAGUGACCUUGGAGAUCUCAUCUGGAAGAUGGUAGAACUGCUAUCAGCCUGGCUUCCCAAAUGACCUCCUGGAUCACAGCUACCCAUGGCCUGAAAUGUUGACCUUGGAGUUGUUGCAUAGGAAAGAAAUAAACUUCUUUGUUCUUUGAGCCACAUA
rnacentral:lncRNA from 1 species